rnacentral:rRNA from 1 species
AACGAACGCUGGCGGCGCGCCUAAUACAUGCAAGUCGAGCGAGAAGACGUAGCAAUACGUUUGUAAAGCGGCGAACGGGUGAGGAAUACAUGGGUAACCUACCCUCGAGUGGGGAAUAACUAGCCGAAAGGUUAGCUAAUACCGCGUACGCUCCUUGGACUUCGGUUCAGGGAGGAAAGCGAUACCGUGGGUAUCGCGCUCUUGGAUGGGCUCAUGUCCUAUCAGCUUGUUGGUGAGGAACGGCUCACCAAGGCUUCGACGGGUAGCUGGUCUGAGAGGACGAUCAGCCACACUGGGACUGAGAUACGGCCCAGACUCCUACGGGAGGCAGCA